AACGUCUGGACGGAGGAGGAAAUAUCGGACGCGGGGCCAACACCACUUCUCAUCCACUCGUUCCACUUCUCCACCGCUUCUCAUCCACUCAUUCUCGUCAACACUACUCUCUCUCCUCUCUCAUAUGGGUUUGAAUGCCACACCCGCCGGCCGCUGUGCAGGAGCAAGAAGGAGGCCUACCUCGGCCUCUACGCCGCCGCCGCGGCUGCCGUCGGCGAGGACGGCGGGUGCCGGGUCUGGCUGGAGCGUGCCACCGGCGCCAGGUGCUACACACUGUCCGCGCGGAGGCUCAGCCUGCCCUGGGACGAUGGCGAGUUCUGCUGGAAGUACGGCGAGCUGGCCGCCGCCGCGGAGCCGCGCGGUGCGCCGACCGCAGCUGUGGGCCCCGGCCACCGCCGCCGCGGAGCACGCAGGCAGCUUGCCGCCGGCCGCUGCUGGGGGAGCGCGCCGGCCGCCGUGCUGGAGAUCAUCGAGUUCGGCACCACCGGCCAGGUCGCCGGCUUCAUAGCCAAAGCCAUCCAGGGGCACCGGCUGCCGCCGUGAAGCGCGGGGACUGCCGGGCGCGCGGGCAGCUGCCUGCUUGCCGCCGCUGUUGGAGCGUGCGGGCCGCCGGCGGCCGCCGCGGGAGCCGUGGAGCGUGUGGGCUGCCGCCGAGGAGCACGGGAGCCAGCCGUCGGAGCCGGCUGUGGUGAUUUUUCCCUUAGUUUUCUGAAAUAGAGAUGCAUGUGGGAUUGUAUGGCUUGUAUCUAUUUUGUGAUUGAUUCUUUGAAUGAUUUGUGAGAUUUAUGGAUUUUGCAUCAAUCAAUUCAUAUACUUUCGUUUAUUCUUUGAA